rnacentral:rRNA from 1 species
GACGAACGCUGGCGGCGUGCUUAACACAUGCAAGUCGAACGGAAAGGCCCUGCUUUGGUGGGGUGCUCGAGUGGCGAACGGGUGAGUAACACGUGAGUAACCUGCCCAUGACUUUGGGAUAACUUCAGGAAAAUGGGGCCAAUACCGGAUAGGAGAUCCUGAUGCAUGGUGGGGGUUGGAAAGUUUCGGAUGUUGGGGAUGGUUUCGUGGGUGAUCAGCUUGUUGGUGGGGUAGUGGCUUACCAACGCGUUGACGGGUAGCAGGCGUGAGAGUGUGACCGGGCACAUGGGCACUGAGAUACGGCCGAGAGCCGUACGGGAGGCAGGAGUGGGGAAGAUUGCAUGAUGGGGGGACGCCUGAUGCGUGAAGGCCGCGUGCGGGAUGACGGGCUCUGGGGUGUAAGACGCAUGGUCCUGAGAGGAAGCGUGAGUGACGGUAACUGGUAAGGAAGCACCGGCUAACUACGUG